rnacentral:rRNA from 1 species
UACGUAGGGGGCUAGCGUUAUCCGGAAUUACUGGGCGUAAAGGGUGCGUAGGUGGUUUCUUAAGUCAGAGGUGAAAGGCUACGGCUCAACCGUAGUAAGCCUUUGAAACUGGGGAACUUGAGUGCAGGAGAGGAGAGUGGAAUUCCUAGUGUAGUGGUGAAAUGCGUAGAUAUUAGGAGGAACACCAGUUGCGAAGGCGGCUCUCUGGACUGUAACUGACACUGAGGCACGAAAGCGUGGGGAGCAAACAGG